AAUAGCGGAGAAACAACCCAUGUGAACAUACCUACUGUUUGCUUCGGCGGGAUUGCCCCGGGCGCCUCUUGUGCCCCGGAUCAGGCGCCCGCCUAGGAAACUUAACUCUUGUUUUAUUUUGGAAUCUUCUGAGUAGUUUUUACAAAUAAAUAAAAACUUUCAACAACGGAUCUCUUGGUUCUGGCAUCGAUGAAGAACGCAGCGAAAUGCGAUAAGUAAUGUGAAUUGCAGAAUUCAGUGAAUCAUCGAAUCUUUGAACGCACAUUGCGCCCGCCAGUAUUCUGGCGGGCAUGCCUGUCUGAGCGUCAUUUCAACCCUCAUGCCCCUAGGGCGUGGUGUUGGGGAUCGGCCAAAGCCCGCGAGGGACGGCCGGCCCCUAAAUCUAGUGGCGGACCCGUCGUGGCCUCCUCUGCGAAGUAGUGAUAUUCCGCAUCGGAGAGCGACGAGCCCCUGCCGUUAAACCCCCAACUUUCCAAGGUUGACCUCAGAUCAGGUAGGAAUACCCGCUGAACUUAAGCAUAUCAAUAGGCGGAGGAA
rnacentral:rRNA from 1 species